AAUCAACGCUGGCGGCGUGCCUCAGACAUGCAAGUCGAACGAUUAAAGCUCUCUUCGGAGAGUGUAUAGAGUGGCGCACGGGUGAGUAACACGUAAGUAAUCUACCCUCGAGUGGGGAGUAACGUCCGGAACGGACGCUAAUACGCAUAAUGCAGCGGCACCGCAAGGUGACAGUUGUUAAAGAUUAUCGCUUGAGGAGGAGCUUGCGGCAGAUUAGCUAGUUGGUAAGGUAAUGGCUUACCAAGGCUACGAUCUGUAACCGGUCUAAGAGGACGGUCGGUCACACUGACACUGAAUAACGGGU
rnacentral:rRNA from 1 species